rnacentral:rRNA from 1 species
CAGCCGCCGCGGUAAUACGAAGGGGGCUAGCGUUGUUCGGAUUUACUGGGCGUAAAGCGCACGUAGGCGGACUUUUAAGUCAGGGGUGAAAUCCCGGGGCUCAACCCCGGAACUGCCUUUGAUACUGGAAGUCUUGAGUAUGGUAGAGGUGAGUGGAAUUCCGAGUGUAGAGGUGAAAUUCGUAGAUAUUCGGAGGAACACCAGUGGCGAAGGCGGCUUACUGGCUCAUACUGGACGCUGAGGUGCGAAAGCGUGGGGAGCAAACAGGAUUAGAUACCCCGGUAGUCCCUGUCUCUUAUAC